rnacentral:lncRNA from 1 species
AUUAGCUGGAUUUCUUCUAGGGAGAGGAGAGGAGGAAGGCAGGUCCAGGCAGAGGGUACAGCCUGUGGCCGGAAAAGUCUCAGCUUUUUUUCCAAGGGGCAGCCAACUUUUGGGGGAAGAUGUACAGAAGGAGAAACAGCAGCCCAACGCCAGUGGUGCCAGCAGAAUGAUAAGAACUGAGGCUUCUCAAGCUCUUACCGCCUCCCAGCCCCACAGUGAACACUUCCUGCCAUCCUGUCACUGAAUGCCCAUCCUGACCCCAAAGGAACAGAGAACGGAGGGAAGACACAUCUGCUUUUAACUGCUUCUGCCCAGAAGGGACGCCAUCACUUCUGCUCCCAUUUCAUUGGUAAGAACCAGUCACAUGACCUCAUCCGGAUGCAAAGGGUGCUGGGAAAUGUAGUCUCUGGCUGGGCAGCCGCUUCCUGGCCACAACUAUACACUGUGGAAGUGGAGUUCUGGUGGACAGCUG